rnacentral:tRNA from 1 species
GUCUCUGUAGCGAAGUUUGUUAGCGCGUUUGGCUAUUAACCGAAAAGUUUGUAGUUCAAGCCCACCAAGGGACA